ACGGGUGAGUAAUGCCUAGGAAUCUGCCUGGUAGUGGGGGAUAACGUUCGGAAACGAACGCUAAUACCGCAUACGUCCUACGGGAGAAAGCAGGGGACCUUCGGGCCUUGCGCUAUCAGAUGAGCCUAGGUCGGAUUAGCUAGUUGGUGAGGUAAUGGCUCACCAAGGCGACGAUCCGUAACUGGUCUGAGAGGAUGAUCAGUCACACUGGAACUGAGACACGGUCCAGACUCCUACGGGAGGCAGCAGUGGGGAAUAUUGGACAAUGGGCGAAAGCCUGAUCCAGCCAUGCCGCGUGUGUGAAGAAGGUCUUCGGAUUGUAAAGCACUUUAAGUUGGGAGGAAGGGCAGUUACCUAAUACGUAAUUGUUUUGACGUUACCGACAGAAUAAGCACCGGCUAACUCUGUGCCAGCAGCCGCGGUAAUACAGAGGGUGCAAGCGUUAAUCGGAAUUACUGGGCGUAAAGCGCGCGUAGGUGGUUCGUUAAGUUGGAUGUGAAAUCCCCGGGCUCAACCUGGGAACUGCAUUCAAAACUGUCGAGCUAGAGUAUGGUAGAGGGUGGUGGAAUUUCCUGUGUAGCGGU
rnacentral:rRNA from 6 species